ensembl:snoRNA
GAGCACUGUUCGUGACCUGUUUACCUGGCUGUGGCUAACGGGUUCCAUUCCAGUGCUAUAGUAGUUCCAGUGACACAUGACUGACUGCCUUGUGGCUCUCAGUUGCAGGUCUUGGGGACAGUU